ACUAACGUGCUAGCUAAUAACUGUUAGAAGAAGCUGUAGAAAGCACACGAAACCCAGAACGUUAAUUUAGCUAACGUUAUCAAACAAAAAAGGGUUCGCUAACGUGUUUAGGGACAAGUGGCUGGUAAAAUAGUAUAAUCUUGCAUAGUAUUCCCAAGCCUGCAGAACAAGUUAUUUAACGUUAACGAUUGAUGAAUUACAUAAAUUGGCCAGUUAGCUAACGUUAGCUAUUUACCUAGAAUGCGUCCUGGUGAUGUGUGUGACGAUGCACUGUUUUGGUCUAUAGCCAGCCAUAGACUCAGGCUAUAGCUCCAUUCCUCUCUGUGUGAUUCUGGCUAGCUAACGUUGGUUAGUUUUUUUCUUCUUUUAGUUGGCUAUCAUUUCAGAAUAAUGAUGAAAUGUCGUUAUUAGCUAACGUUAAUUGACUUGAGAGGAAGAGGCGAACCGAGAGGGUCCACUCGCGGUAAAAUCUGUCCGCGGAAUACCGCCUUUAAGCAGACAGCCUGCCUUUCCGCCUUUGAGACAACGACCACCAUUGUAGGGCGGAGACAAGACCAUCUCGUCAUUAUAUACAGUAUCUCUGCUAGUAUUCAUCUGACUGUUGUCCUAGCUAGUGUUACAUUUGAUAUCAUUUCACUGAUCAAGUACUGUUGGUGAAGAAUAGUCGUGUUUCAGUGGCGUUACAUUUUUUUAAAUAUCCGUUUUUCUAGCUAAAAAAGCUAUCUAGCGAUACUCAAUAACAAUGUAUUGCUUGACCUGGUAUGUACACACGUAGAUUGAUGUUUCCCCAUCUCCUAAGUGUAGAGAUGAUUUCAUUUUGAUUAUCUUCUUAGCAGUUAGCUAGUACAUUGAUGCAAAAAUGAAUGUGGAUGUAAAACUAGAGGAGAAUGAAAAAGAGAUAUCCCAAAGAAUCAUUUGGUCUGAAAAAUUUAAUGUGGAUGUAAAACUAGAGGGCAAUGAAAAGGAGAUAUCCCAAGGAAUCAUUUGGUCAGACAAAAUGAAUGUGGAUGUAAAACUAGAGGAGAAUGAAAAAGAGAUAUCCCAAGGAAUCAUUUGGUCUGAAAAAUUUAAUGGGGAUGUAAAACUAGAGGGCAAUGAAAAGGAGAUAUCCCAAGGAAUCAUUUGGUCAGACAAAAUGAAUGUGGAUGUAAAACUAGAGGAGAGUGAAAAGGAGAUAUCCCAAGGAAUAAUCUGUUCUGAUAUGGUUGAUACUUCAGAUUACUCAUAUGCCACAACACAUGGGAACACAAGUUGUUCAUUACUGAGUGGGGAACAGUCUUCAGAGACGGCUGCAGGUGUUAUCGAGGAGGAUGUGGUGGCUAAUUUGUUAGUAUUGCCCUUUUCAAGACUAGAUUUCAACGAGAAGUUAAAUGUUGUGCAGAGGGGGAGGCCAACACCAGCACUGACAGGAUUGGUGCAACGAGGAAAGGGCUUCGAAAGGCAUUUUCAAGCGAACAAUUAUGAGCGCUAUCCGUGGAUGACUGGGUGCGAGCAAACCAAGAAGCUAUACUGCUGGGAUUGUCUGCUCUUCAGCACUGACAAGUCGUCCACCUGGGCCAGCGCUGGUUUCACCGACCUAGCCAGUUUAACGAAGUCAGCUCUGCGCCACCAAAACUCCACUUCACACCUGCGAGCUACGGUGAGUUCCAAAACAUUUGGGGACACAGGAGUCGACCUUCAGCUAAAGGAGCAGCAGCGCAGAGUGACUCUGGCUCAUAACGAGAAAGUCAGGAAGAACAGGGAGAUUCUGAAGCGCCUCAUUCACACUGUUGUGUUGUUGGGCAAGCAAGAAUUGACAUUCAGAGGACAUGAGGGAAAAGAGGCUGCUAAUAAAGGGAACUACUUGGAGAUGCUUGAUUUUUUGGCAGAGUAUGACAGCCCCCUAAACUGUCAUCUUGCUACAGCAACCGUGUUCAUUGGCACUAGCAGUAAAAUCCAGAAUGACCUGAUCCACGCGGUCGCGGAUGUAAUGACAGAUGCCAUGAAGGAGGAGGUGAGGAAAACACCUUUUGUAACCGUUAUGGUUGAUGACACAACAGACAUUAGUCAUGUAGCUCAGAUGUCAUACGUGCUGCGUUACACUACAGACAGUGGUGUGAAGGAGAGGUUUUUCAAGUAUGAUGACGUCACUGAGGACAAGCGGGCAGAGGCGGUUGCAGCCCGGGUUCUCAGGUUUUUGGAGGAGUAUGGAUGCACUGCCAAAGUAGUGGCACAGUGUUACGAUGGGGCUGCAGUCAUGGCCUCUGGUCUAAACGGAGUGCAAGCCAAGGUCAAAGAAACCAUCCCGCAGGCUCUGUUCAUUCACUGCUAUGCACACACUCUUAAUCGGGUGAUGUCGCAAGGUGCUGCAAAAUUUAAAAAGUGCAAGAUUUUUUUCUCUCAUCUCAGUGGAAUAGCAGCCUUUUUCUCAAGAUCAGUCAAACGCACAAAACUACUGGAUGAAAUAUGCCAGCGAAGAGUACCCGGAGCGGCUCCGACACGUUGGAACUUCUCCUCACGCUUGGUUUGCACUGUGCAUGAUAAGAGGGAAGAACUCCUAGAGCUCUUUGAAUACAUUGUGGACCAUCAUGAUGACUUUGAUGAAGAGACAGUUCACAGUGCAGAUGGACACAUUACGCGUCUGACAAGCUUCCAGUUCUGCUUCCUGCUAUCCACGUUCAACUCCAUCUUUGCGUACUCCGACGUGGUGUUUGGGAUUUUGCAGAACAGGGAGUUUGACAUGCAGUUCUGCUUGUCCAGGAUCGACGACUUCUGCAGCGCCACGGAGAGGGAGAAGGGGAAAUGUGAUUCUAUCUACGAGGACACUGUGCGUGAAACCGGGGAUCCGAGCGGGCGGAGGGCACAGACGCAUGGAGACAUUCGCGCCCAGUACCAACAGCUCCACAGUGGAAUCAUCGACAACCUUCUCACUCAGCUAAGGAACAGGUUCAAAGACCACGAAAGGCUUAUGUUCCUUGCCCUUCUUGACCCACAGCAGUUCCCCAGAUAUAGGGAAACCUUCCCCAACACUGAGUUCUCAAGUCUCAAGGAAAGCUAUGGGCCCCACUUCGAUCUGCCGCGGCUCAAAACUGAACUCACGGUGAUGUACUCCAUGUCUGAUUUCGAGGGUAGGAGUCCGGCCGACCUCCUUCACUUUCUCCGGCAGAAGAGGCUGAAUGAGACUAUGUACCAACUGUAUCUGCUUACCUGUCUGGUCUUGACCAUUCCCAUGUCCACUGCCUCAGAUGAAAGGACAUGCUCCGCCCUGAAACGGAUCAAGACUUACUGCAGGAACACCACUGGACAGGCCAGACUGUCAGCCUUGGCUUUGAUCUCAAUCGAGAAAGUACUUCUCUUGGAUUUAAAAUCAAUGGACAAACUCUAUGACUCUGCCAUUGCCCAUUUCAUAAAGAAGGAUCAGUUGGUGGACUUUAUUUUCAAAUGAUCAUUUAAUGAUUUCUUGCAGCUCACUUGGUGUUAGCUAUCUCUUUUUUGAAAAAAUAAUGAAUGUGAAACAUUUUGCAUUGAAACUUUAGACCACCUGUUAGGCUACUUUGUGUGCUGAUUGUGAUUUAAAAUGUUUGCAAUGGCAAGUAAUAGCUGCUUUGUUAAUUUCCUGUUGGAAUUGCUAAAUGGUUGUUUGUAUUUUGAUUGGGUCCUCCUGCCUUAUGUCAGAGUCAAUGGGCUGCUGAGGCUGUUCCUCAACAUGAUUUGAUGCGGUGUCGGACUCCUUUCUGUCAGGCAUGCAUAACUCCAUGUUCAAAAUAUGAAAGAUAAUAUCCUUGGUGCUGAAAUAGUGGAGGCAGCGCUACGGUUUUCUUCGCGUUGAGCUCGCGGAAGUCUAACUGUCCAUGGUCUUAAAUCAAUAGUUAGGCGUGUGCUGUUGGGGUUACCACAAGUUAACAUCAUUAUUCCUGGGUCUUGUUCCUAAAUAGGGAAGUUAGCCUAAACAUGUUGAAGUGUGUUGUGGUUGUAUUUCCUGUUUUUAUUAUAAUCUUGCUGCUUGGGAAACAUUGUAGUGAGUUCUUCCCAAAAACCUUCUCAAUUAGAGAAGAGGCAACAAGCCUACCGAAGAUUCAACUCGUGUUCGUUAGACAUAGGCCUACUGUAGUAAAGCGUUCAAUGGUAGGUAGAGUUACGCUACAGUUUGUUGGACAAGUUCAGAAAUUGUUCCAUAAGAAUGAGUAGCCUAGUCUUUUUAGGAUGAAGUGAAAUACGGUGGCAAUAAUAUAUUUACACUCAUUUGUAUAAUGGGUUUAGUCUUUAUUUUGUUGCAGAUUCCCUUGGCCUCCUAUUGGUUCACUCUUGAUUCCUGGUCUUGCUGUAGAGACUGAAUACAGCAUGAAUAUUGCUGGACUUAUUCCCCCCCCAUUGUAUACAACCUAUUCAUUGUAUUCAACGCAUUCAGCUACCUUUGGAAGAAUCUAUAGAAGAACCUCUGAUCUUUUUUUGUUAGAAAUAAGAAGGCCGACAAGGAUAUUAUAUAUUUUAAUUAAGAGUAUCCAUUGGUGAAAUAACCUACUAUUAUGGAUCAAAUAUAUUUUUCGGCCAUUUUUGUAGGGUCUGUAUUAUGUGGGCUGUUUUGUUAUUUUUUUCUGGCGAGAUUAAGAAAGGCACUGCAUCAAGACUUGCUGUACAGUAACCCAUACUUUCAUAUUUUGAACAUGGAGUUAUUCUACCGUCAACUAUAAUAAUAAUAAUAAUGUUAUUUUUGUUUUUCAAGGACACUUCCACUGACAUUCUUAGGUGUUCCUCUGGCACCUGUGCGUGCCUCUAGAUGAAAAGGUACGCUACACACGUUGACAGACUGAUUUCUUAACUCCCUUUUUAACAUGCAAGACAACAGGAAAAUACAUUUUAAACAAAAUGGACAUGUCAACAACAACAAAAAUAUCUUAUCUGAGGAUGUCACUUUGAUUUACAUUGGCAGUAAAUGCUUUCACUCCACAUCUAGUGGUGGAGUAGGACACCAUCUACAGUACGUCAGGAGCAGUGGCGUGUUCCAGGAGAGCGACUUCUCAUUCAUGAUGGCGAGGUGUCAUCCGCUGUGGUGGAGAGGGAUGUUCUCUAUGUCAGGAGCAGUGGCUUGUUCCAGGAGAGCAACACUUGAGGAGGAGUCUUCUCAGUCAUGAUGAGGUGAGAUCUUGUCGUUAAUAUCUCCAUCAUGCCAAGACAAAACCCCAACAACUUUACCAUGCAGUCUCUUAUUUUUAACGCCUUAUCUGAACGCUGAAGCCGGUAACAAAGCCGGUACAUUUAAUCCCACCAACAGAGGUAAUGAUGAUUUCGGUAUUUUCUUCAAAGAUCCCGCCGUACGCCUUUGUGUAAAUAAACCAAGCCGUGAAAACAUUUCCAGGCUUUGGGACGAGAUCACAAAGCUUCACAGAAAUGCUUUGAAUGCAUUUAAAUGUAUGUAGUUCUGUCCUUGAGCUGCUCUUGUCUAUUGUCACAGAAAUGCUUUAGCCUGGGGGAACACACACAGCGCAUCUGACAAUAUACGCAAACCUUUCCGCUAGUCCUCUUCUGGAGUUCCAAAAGCUAUAGGCUACAAUAUCUUGUUGGACAUUCAUUUUGAGCAUGUUUUGCUAUGAUUAAUCAUAUCAGUGGCAUAGUGCUAUUUUUAUUUUUAGGGGAAGGAGCUAAAUGUUUUUAUUAAAUUUUUUAUGACGUA